GACGAACGCUGGCGGCGUGCUUAACACAUGCAAGUCGAACGGAAAGGCCCCCACCUUGGUGGGGGUGCUCGAGUGGCGAACGGGUGAGUAACACGUGGGUGAUCUGCCCUGUACUUCGGGAUAAGCUUGGGAAACUGGGUCUAAUACCGGAUAGGACCAUGGUUUAGUGUCUCAUGGUGGAAAAAUUAUUGUUUUGGUGCAGGAUGAGCUCGCGGCCUAUCAGCUUGUUGGUGGGGUAAUGGCCUACCAAGGCGUCGACGGGUAGCCGGCCUGAGAGGGUGGACGGCCACAUUGGGACUGAGAUACGGCCCAGACUCCUACGGGAGGCAGCAGUGGGGAAUAUUGCACAAUGGGCGCAAGCCUGAUGCAGCGACACCGCGUGGGGGAUGACGGCCUUCGGGUUGUAAACUCCUUUCGUUAGGGACGAAGCCACACCUUUUUUGGGUGUGGUGACGGUACCUUUGUUAAGAAGCACCGGCUAACUACGUG
rnacentral:rRNA from 1 species